rnacentral:rRNA from 1 species
CUACGGGAUGCACCAGUGGGGAAUAUUGCACAAUGGAGGAAACUCUGAUGCAGCAACGCCGCGUGGAGGAUGACACUUUUCGGAGCGUAAACUCCUUUUAUAUAGGAAGAAGAUGACGGUACUAUAUGAAUAAGCGCCGGCUAACUCCGUGCCAGCGGCCGCGGUAAUACGGAGGGCGCAAGCGUUACUCGGAAUCACUGGGCGUAAAGAGCGUGUAGGCGGAUUAAAAAGUCAGAAGUGAAAUCCUAUAGCUUAACUAUAGAACUGCUUCUGAAACUCUUAAUCUAGAAUAUGGGAGAGGUGGAUGGAAUUUCUGGUGUAGGGGUAAAAUCCGUAGAGAUCAGAAGGAAUACCGAUUGCGAAGGCGAUCUACUAGAACAUUAUUGACGCUGAGACGCGAAAGCGUGGGGAGCAAACAGGAUUAGAUACCCGGGUAGUC